rnacentral:rRNA from 1 species
CCUACGGGGUGCAGCAGUAGGGAAUUUUCGUCAAUGGGCGCAAGCCUGAACGAGCGAUGCCGCGUGAGUGAAGAAGGCCUUCGGGUCGUAAAGCUCUGUUGCGGGGGAAAAAAGGCAGCAUCAGGAAAUGGGUGCUGACUGAUGGUGCCCCGCCAGCAAGUCACGGCUAACUACGUGCCAGCAGCCGAGGUCAUACGUAGGUGGCGAGCGUUAUCCGGAAUGAUUGGGCGUAAAGGGUGGUCAGGCGGGCCUGCAAGUCGGGAGUGAAACGGAUGCGCUCAACUCCUGCAGGGCCUUGGAAACUGGAGGACUGGAGAGCAGGAGAGGGCUGUGGAACUCCAUGUGUAGCGGUAAAAUGCGUAGAUAUAUGGAAGAACACCAGUGGCGAAGGCGGCCGCCUGGCCUGUUGCUGACGCUGAGGCACGAAAGCGUGGGGAGCAAAUAGGAUUAGAUACCCGUGUAGUC